CCUACGGGUGGCAGCAGUGGGGAAUUUUGGACAAUGGGGGCAACCCUGAUCCAGCCAUGCCGCGUGAGUGAAGAAGGCCUUCGGGUUGUAAAGCUCUUUCGGCCGGGAAGAAAUCGCUCAAGCUAAUACCUUGGGUGGAUGACGGUACCGGAAGAAGAAGCACCGGCUAACUACGUGCCAGCAGCCGCGGUAAUACGUAGGGUGCGAGCGUGGAUCGGAAUUACUGGGCGUAAAGCGUGCGGAGGCGGCGGAAAUCCCCGGGCGUAAGCUGGGAACUGCGUUGGUGACUGUGGUGGUCGAGUGCGGCAGAGGGGGGUGGAAUUCCACGUGUAGCAGUGAAAUGCGUAGAGAUGUGGAGGAACACCGAUGGCGAAGGCAGCCCCCUGGGUCGACACUGACGCUCAUGCACGAAAGCGUGGGGAGCAAACAGGAUUAGAUACCCCGGUAGUC
rnacentral:rRNA from 1 species